CUAGUUGGUAAGGUAAGGGCUUACCAAGGCGACGAUCAGUAGCCGGCCUGAGAGGGUGGACGGCCACAUUGGGACUGAGACACGGCCCAAACUCCUACGGGAGGCAGCAGUGGGGAAUAUUGCACAAUGGGGGAAACCCUGAUGCAGCGACGCCGCGUGAGCGAUGAAGUAUUUCGGUAUGUAAAGCUCUAUCAGCAGGGAAGAUCAUGACGGUACCUGACUAAGAAGCACCGGCUAAAUAC
rnacentral:rRNA from 1 species